rnacentral:rRNA from 1 species
UUAAUUGAAGAGUUUGAUCAUGGCUCAGAUUGAACGCUGGCGGCAGGCCUAACACAUGCAAGUCGAGCGGCAGCACAGAGGAACUUGUUCCUUGGGUGGCGAGCGGCGGACGGGUGAGUAAUGCCUGGGAAAUUGCCCGGUAGAGGGGGAUAACCAUUGGAAACGAUGGCUAAUACCGCAUAACCUCGUAAGAGCAAAGCAGGGGACCUUCGGGCCUUGCGCUACC